rnacentral:ncRNA from 2 species
UUUCAUACAAUCGGGAUAGGUGCCCUACGGGGCUUAAUAGGGAAGUCCGGUGCAAGCCCGGCGCGGUCCCGCCACUGUAAUGAGGAGCAAACCCAAGUUAUGCCACUGGGAUGAAAGUCCUGGGAAGGUUUGGGCGAGCGAUGAUCCAGAGCCAGGAGAACUGCCUAUCUGACAGUCACCGC